AUUGAACGCUGGCGGCAUGCCUAACACAUGCAAGUCGAGCGGAUGAGAAGAGCUUGCUCUUCGAUUCAGCGGCGGACGGGUGAGUAAUGCCUAGGAAUCUGCCUGGUAGUGGGGGAACACGGUUCGAAAGGCACGCUAAUACCGCAUACGUCCUACGUGAGAAAGCAGGGUACCUUCGGGCCUUGCGCUUGCAGAUGAGCCUAGGUCGGAUUAGCUAGUUGGUGAGGUAAUGGCUCACCAAGGCGACGAUCCGUAACUGGUCUGAGAGGAUGAUCAGUCACACUGGAACUGAGACACGGUCCAGACUCCUACGGGAGGCAGCAGUGGGGAAUAUUGGACAAUGGGCGAAAGCCUGAUCCAGCCAUGCCGCGUGUGUGAAGAAGGUCUUCGGAUUGUAAAGCACUUUAAGUUGGGAGGAAGGGCAGUAAGUUAAUACCUUGCUGUUUUGACGUUACCGACAGAAUAAGCACCGGCUAACUCUGUGCCAGCCGCCGCCGUAAUAC
rnacentral:rRNA from 1 species